AAUUUGUGUGCUUAAACGUUUAAGAAAGAUGCGUCUUUAUUUGAGAUAAAUCAUCAAGUGUUUCAUGUUUAUUUGGUGAUUUAUCAAACAGUUUAUCAUUCAUAUUGCAUUAAUUUGCAUAGUUCGGUGACUCAUAUAGUUGAGAGCACCAAGACCGUGAUGAUGGUUUUUCCAAUGAGCUUGAAGCAAUCGUGACCAAUAAUGCAUUUGACAUUAGGAGUGUUGAAAGAUCAUCCUGUGGCAGAAGUUGAGUUACGAAGAAGUCGGUAAACAUUUUCUAAAAUGUGUUUAGGAUAAAUAUUUAUGGUUUCAAUUGCUUUGGUGGUGAUCGUGCUUUGGAGGUACCGGUGCGGUAAACUAGACAAUGGGUCUGGAUUGGGGGAGAUGGGUUUCCACAGUGGUGCUCCUCGGUUGAUUUUUUUUUUUUGGUCUAGUGCUUGAUAAGUAAAUCAAGAUCUCAGUGAUUUUAGAAGAAGAAGAAUAGCUAUGGAGAAUUUCAAAGACAAGAAUUGAUGUUGAUUGGAGAAAGAGAGAUGGAAAAAAUGAAUUAUUGUAUGGACUGAAAACGAAAACAACAUAGUAUCGUUUUCAACUUUUGUUCAUGAAUUGGAUUUGUUUUUGGAAAAUAUUUUUAGGGAAAACAAAAACGUUCCACCGAACAGGUAUUUUCCGAAAAACAGGAAAUGAAUUACGGAAAACAGGUAGUGAAAAUGAUACCGAACGCAGCCUUUACUACUUGAA